rnacentral:rRNA from 1 species
CUACGGGUGGCUGCAGUCGGGAAUAUUGCGCAAUGGAGGAAACUCUGACGCAGUGACGCCGCGUAUAGGAAGAAGGUUUUCGGAUUGUAAACUAUUGUCGUUAGGGAAGAUAAAAGACAGUACCUAAGGAGGAAGCUCCAGCUAACUACGUGCCAGCAGCCGCGGCAAUACGUAGGGAGCAAGCGUUAUCCGGAUUUAUUGGGUGUAAAGGGUGCGUAGACGGGAAGACAAGUUAGUUGUGAAAUCCCUCGGCUUAACUGAGGAACUGCAACUAAAACUAUUUUUCUUGAGUGUUGGAGAGGAAAGUGGAAUUCCUAGUGUAGCGGUGAAAUGCGUAGAUAUUAGGAGGAACACCGGUGGCGAAGGCGACUUUCUGGACAAUAACUGACGUUGAGGCACGAAAGUGUGGGGAGCAAACAGGAUUAGAUACCCCCGUAGUC